AUAAAAAAACAAAAUCCCCAUCGGAGUUAGCGAGCUCGUUCCCAACUCAGUCUCUUCAUGGCUCACCCCCGAGUCACCAACUCGCUCAGUUCCACCACCACAAUUUCACUCUUCUGCAACCACCAUAACCCUAACAAUCCGAAGAAACCCUUUGUUCUUCUUCCAAUUCGCGCUUGCCCAUGCCGCCCACGCCCUUCCCAAUCCCUAAUUCUCCAUAAAGCUACUCCAUCAUCCUUCUUCUUCUCUAAUUGCAAGCCGUUGCUCCGGUUCACCCGCCGAACCGGAGCCUCGCCUCCACCGCGCGUGAUUGGUCAGGCCCAACCGGAACACCUUCCACAGAGCAAUGCCGAAGGGGAAGACGUGCUCUUGAAACCUCAAGUUAGUCAGCUUAGGAACAGAAUUGUUUUUGGACUUGCGAUUGGAAUAACCGUAGGUGGUGUUGUUUUGGCUGGAGGGUGGGUUUUUGCAGUUGCCAUGGCUGCUGCUGUUUUUGCUGGGGCACGUGAGUAUUUUGAAUUGGUUCGGAGUCGUGGAAUUACUGAAGGAAUGACACCUCCUCCACGCUAUGUCUCACGAGUCUGCUCUGUCGCUUGUGCCCUAUUGCCCUUGUACAUCAUGUAUCGUGGUCAUAUUGAUGUCUCUGUAACUUCUGCUGCAUUUGUUUUGGCCAUGGCAUUACUCUUACAAAGAGGAAGUCCACGCUUUGCCCAGCUAAGUAGUGCCAUAUUUGGAUUAUUUUAUUGUGGCUAUCUUCCGUGCUUUUGGGUUAAGCUUCGAUGUGGUUUAGCAGCUCCAGCCUUGAAUACGAGAAUAGGAGCAACAUGGCCUGUGCUUCUUGGUGGUCAAGCUCAUUGGACAGUUGGUCUUGUGGCAACUUUGAUUUCCAUUAGCAGCAUAAUUGCAGCUGAUACAUUCGCAUUUCUUGGUGGCAAGGUAUUUGGUAGAACACCACUUACCAAUAUAAGUCCUAAGAAGACAUGGGAGGGUACGAUAAUAGGCUUUUGUGGGUGUAUAGUUACUUCUGUUGUGCUUUCAAAAAUUUUCAGUUGGCCAAUGUCAUUAUCAAGUUCAAUAGCUCUCGGUGUACUGAAUUUCUUUGGAUCUGUUUUUGGUGAUCUCACUGAAUCAAUGAUUAAACGCGAUGCGGGUGUGAAAGACUCAGGCUCCUUAAUACCUGGUCAUGGUGGAGUACUAGACAGAGUGGACAGUUAUGUGUUUACUGGUGCGCUCGCAUACUCCUUCGUCAAAACCUUUCUACCUCUAUAUGGGGUAUAACAUGAAAAAUACUGGACUCGUUGACUUUUGUGUCUUCCUAAGGAUUCAACGUGUGAAUUGAACUUGAUAUUUGUGGAAACUUGGGAUAUUUUCAUGAGAUCAGAACACAAAAAAAAGAAAAAGAGGACACUUUUUCAUCAGGGAGCAGCAGGAAUUUUUCUUAUAUUCUCUCAAGCUAAGUUGAAAAUAGUUGGUUGCUGCUUUGGUUCUGAAUCUUAAAAUGAGGUCACUGAUAGUAGAACUAAUCAAAGUGGUAGCAUUCAUUGGUUGUAUUGUGACCUGUAAAAAUUAAUCACGAUUCAUUUUGCAAAAAAAAAAAAAAAAGGAUCGCUUGUGGUUGCCCCAGGUAUUUGUUCUAGCUAGCCAUGGAAGGGAAUCAUUUGUGGUAGUAAUUUUUCACAAUUAGUUAUUGUUUCCGCAUUUAUUUACUAGUCUCAAUUGUAUUUUAGCAAGGCUGAAAUAUAUUUUUCUGUAUUAAUAAAGGACCUGCCAGUAUACAUUAAAAUUCAGAAUUCACAUCAAGAGAAUAUUUUCCUUCCAGAUUUCUUCAAGGCAUCACUGCUUGGUGUGUACUUGUUUUAUAAAGAAUGUUUUAAUCCCGGGUCUUUA